rnacentral:tRNA from 1 species
UGUCCAGGGGCGGGAAUCGAACCCACAACCUUCUGCUUACCGGGCAGGUGCCAUGUCCACUAGGCUACCCUGUGGAC